rnacentral:rRNA from 1 species
UACAGAGGGUGCGAGCGUUGUCCGGAAUCACUGGGCGUAAAGGGCGCGUAGGCGGCUUGAUAAGCGUGCGGUGAAAGCCCGGGGCUCAACCCCGGGUCGGCCGUGCGAACUGUCGAGCUGGAGCACUGUAGAGGCAGGUGGAAUUCCGGGUGUAGCGGUGGAAUGCGUAGAGAUCCGGAAGAACACCGGUGGCGAAGGCGGCCUGCUGGGCAGUGGCUGACGCUGAGGCGCGACAGCGUGGGGAGCAAACAGGAUUGAGAA